rnacentral:rRNA from 1 species
AUUGAACGCUGGCGGCAUGCCUUACACAUGCAAGUCGAACGGCAGCACGGGGGCAACCCUGGUGGCGAGUGGCGAACGGGUGAGUAACAUAUCGGAACAUACCCUAGAGUGGGGGAUAACGUAGCGAAAGUUACGCUAAUACCGCAUACGAUCUAAGGAUGAAAGUGGGGGAUCUUCGGACCUCAUGCUCAUGGAGUGGCCGAUAUCUGAUUAGCUAGUUGGUGAGGUAAAGGCUCACCAAGGCGACGAUCAGUAGCUGGUUUGAGAGAACGACCAGCCACACUGGAACUGAGACACGGUCCAGACUCCUACGGAGGCAGCAGUGGGGAAUUUUGGACAAUGGGGGCAACCCUGAUCUAGCAAUGCCGCGUGAGUGAAGAAGGCCUGGUGUAAGAGUCUUUGUUCUAGGAGGAAACGGUA